rnacentral:lncRNA from 1 species
GAGGCAAAAAAUGAACCUUUACAUGAAUCUGGGCUUUUGAUUUGGCAAUUGGAACGACCAUGACACACCAACCAGAGAGCCUCGGCACUGACCUCGAAAGGAUUCAACUCGACUGAGCUUGGACGACGGUUUUGGAUGUCAAAAUGGGCUGUUUUAUGGUGGAGUUUGGAGGCUGUUUUGAGGUAAUUUUCUGUUGGUUUCAAGUGUGGGUUCGAGUGAAGUUUCAGUUGGUUUUCAUGGUUGUUUCAAGGCUGUUUUCAGGUAGGUUUGGGGGUGGAUUUUCAGCUUGUUUUUGGGGGUGUUGAACUGGAGAAAAGUGACUGUUUUGGGGUGUUAUCGACAGUUGUGGGUGGACUGGUUUUCAGCUCAUUUUUUGGGAUGUUUUCAACUCGUUUUUGAGCUGUUUUGAGGAAGUUUUGGGGCUGAAUUUCUAGCUCGUUUUUGGGGGUGUUGAACUGGAGAAAAGUGACUGUUUUGGGGUGCUAUCGACAGCUGUGGGUGGACUGGUUUUUAGCUCUUUUUUGGGCUAUUUUCAGCUCAUUUUUGAGCUAUUUUGAGGGAGUUUUGGGGCUGGAUUUGCAGCUCGUUUUCUUUGCUGGUUCCUCCUCUUUUUUUUUUGUGUUGUGUGUGUGUUUUAUAGUUGAAAAUGGGGUAUGGGAUUUGUGAUAGGAGACAAGUAUGGGGGACAAGGAGUGGGAAAAAAUAGAGAGAGUAGGGAGCAAAGUGUGGGAGGACAAGCAUGGAGGACAAAUGAAAGUGGAGUGGGGAACAAACAUGUGGGAUAAGCAUGGGAGACAAAGCAUGGGGGAUAAGUAUGAGGGACAAAGAAAAGUUGAGUGGGGACACGCUUGGGAAGCGGGAAAUAUUCAAGCACGGUUAAAAAUUAGGUGCUCACAGCAUGCCCCUCUUUGCUUGGAAACAUUAAAAGUUUUCAGGCAAAGAUAAAGUGAGCCGUGUGACUAAGUUUUAACCAUAUCGUUAUUCAAAAGAGGAAGAAAAUAAAAGAAAAAAGUGCGACCGAGUCCUGGUUUUGGAUAGCCUACAUAUCCCAGGUUAUAAGGGAAUCAGGUCGCGUGUAGUUCAAGAAAAAUGAUGAGUUCGAAAGUCGAGCUAGGUUCCGUCGAGGCUCCAGUCCGUGGCCCUGUUAUUACAUCAAAAUCUAAAUGAACUAAACAAGCCUAUCAGUUAUAAGUUACAAGAUUCCUAUUUAUAAGUCUUCUGAACCUUGAUCUUGAGUUUUGACUGGUUGUUCAUGCAGACUCUGAUCUGAACCUUGAUGCUUGCUAGCUGUAGGUGCUAGUUCAUUCUUCUACGGCUUCUUCUGAGAAUAUGAAGCUCGUAACUUCAGUCAUGUUUUGAGCAGUCCAUAUCAUUUCCAUCUGCUUCUGCAUUUGGAUUCACUUUUUUUUCUUUCUUUAUUGUUGAUUCAAACUUCUUCUUUUGUUUAUCUCAAACCUUGUGCCUCGAGAUAAAACCUACUCAGACAUCACAACAAAUAAACAAACGAAAUUUUUCUGCCCCAGUUUUCACUAGGAAAAUUUCGUGAGUUAUUGUAACGAAAUUCUAAACUACUUCUUUAUUGAAAUCAAAUAAAAAAAAGUAAUGGUGUACCCUGAAAAGGUCAUGAUGAUUUUGUUUUUUAUUGUCCCAAAAGAAUAUCUCAACUAAGGAUUUGUGUACCUUAUGUUGGGAAACUGUGGUCAGAGAAUGGGAUACCCUAUAUUGGCAAUGAUACCAGGGAGUGGUGUAUCCUGCAUUUAAAAUCAAAUCAACUAAGGAGUGGUGUACCCUAUGUUGGAGAACACAGCAAGGGAUUGGUGUACUCUAUACUGGUAAGGAGAUCAGGGAUUGGUGUACCCUAUACUGGUAAGGAAAUGUAAUCAGGGGAUGGCUCCCUAUAUUACUGAAAAAGAAAUAUAACCAGGGGUUGGCGCCCUGUAUUACUGAAAAGGAAAGGUAAUCAGGGGUUGGUGCCCUGUAUUACUGAAACAAGCAAACGAGGAUAGAAUUACAAAAGUCAAGACACUCACCAGUUUGCAGAUUCAACAAACAAAAUAGAAGAGAAGGCUAAGUGCCAAAUAGCAACUAAUUAAAGCAAGAGAGGAUCUCACUUAUAACAAAAAAUAGCAAGUAUUAAACCAGUUAUAUAGAGCAAGUUUAAAGAUGGUUUUGAGCUGAAGUUUGAAGUGUUCAACUGAUAAUUUUUUGAUUCUUUUGUAUGUUUGUUAAGUUUAUUAUGAGAAUAUACUGCAUGAGCCGGCUAAAAUAGCAGCCAAUAGAAGCACAUAUUUAAGACAGCCGGCAAAAUAUAGGCAUAUAUAGCAGGUUAAUUUUUCCUAAUCUAAGGGUUGUAGUUUUAACUUUUAUAUACGCUAACAAAGUAAAAAUAAAAAUACACUAUCAAUAUAGUUUAAUAUGUGAUUAUCUCAUGUUAAGUUGUUAACAAUUUAAUGAUUAUCAUAGAAUUUAUUUGUUUUUUUUUGUAUAACUAUUUGUAUUCGGAACCCACCGGGUCAGCUAAUCCAGUUUUAUACUGUGUAGGGUCCACUUAAGAAGAAGCGGUACCUAUUUUUUCAAUCGGGGUUCGAACCCAAGACAUUUGGCUAAGGGUGAAGGGAUCUCAUCUAUCCCACUGAACUCGAGACAUCAGGUGGAAUUUGAAACACUAUAACUUAAGCUCUUAUUACAUUGUUAAAUUUAGUGCUUAAUUUGUAGGCAAAUUCUACAUUUUUUAGUUGCNNNNNNNNNNNNNNNNNNNNNNNNNNNNNNNNNNNNNNNNNNNNNNNNNNNNNNNNNNNNNNNNNNNNNNNNNNNNNNNNNNNNNNNNNNNNNNNNNNNNNNNNNNNNNNNNNNNNNNUUCUACANUUUUUAGUUGCACAUUCCCAUGCCAAGCUUUUCAUUGUUAUUUUUGUCACUAAUAUUACAACCUUACUCCCUAUUAUAAUUGUCAUGGUACGUAGUCGUUGGCCGUAGCCUCGCCAAUAAGGAAUCGUUUGGUUCAAAUUCAAGAUAUUUCAGGAUUAUAAUCGUGGAAUUAAUUACAAUCAAGAUUCCAAUGGCCUGUUUGGCCAAGCUUCUCAAGAGGCCAAAAUUGUUUUUUUUUCUUUCUCAAAAGCACUUUUUUUCCCUAACUUGAGUUGUUUGGCAAAACUUUUUUUGGGGAAAAAAGUGCUUUUGGGAGAAGCAGAAGCAGUUUCUAAGAAGCAGAAAAAAAUAGUUUCUUCCCAAAAACAGAAGCAGAAGCAGUUUUGACUUUUCUUCUUACCAAAAAUACCCUUUAACAAAAUAUAGUAUAUACCAAAAUAACCAUUAAACCUAAUACUUAGGAUAUUAAUGUAUAAAUAUUUUUUAUUAUUUUUAGGAUAGCUUUCUAAUAUAUAAUGACUUUAGGAGUGAAUGCUUUUAUAUUUGUUGAAUGAUUUUUAAUAUAUUUAACUUAUACUAAAAGAAUUAAGUACUUUUAAAUUUAUUUUUGUCACACCCCUUUUAUGCCCCUCCCCCCCCCCCCCAAAACGAUAAUGUGUUUGGAUUGUGGGUUAAAGAGUUUUUCCAAUUAAAGUGAUAAUUUUUGAAAUAUGGAUUAUUUUAUUUACAGAGUCGCCACUUGGAAUUGAUUUUUUGCCGGUGUUCCAAGUCACAUUUUAUUUGAAUCCCUAGUCAAAGGAAGGUUUGACUCUUUUAUUAUUGGUCUGCGAAAACAAAGUCCGGAUAAGAAAUUCUGUUGACCGGGGAGAAGGUGUAAGGCAUUCCCCGAAUCCCGUGAUUCUAGCACAGUCGCUUUAUUGACUACAACUUGGCUUGAAUUAAUUUUGGACAAACUAUGAUUUAUUGGUUUUCAUAUUUUUCUUUAUCCGCUUUUAUUGCUUGAUUAUUCGUAAUUAAGGAAUUAUCUUGAAACGAGUCACGCGUACGUGUACCCGUUUUGUUUGGCGCAUUAAAAAUCAUGCCACACAUGUGUGUACACAAUUGAUAACACUUUUAUUAUUAUUAAAAUUCUUCUGUCAAAGUUGCAUGAACGAAUACCUUGCCUUUAACUUUGGAAAACUGAUGGCUUCUUUUCUUCCCAUUCCUAAACCAAAACGUCCCAAUUCGAUUAUUAAAUCCCAACGCCAUUAAUUCAUUGGAAAAAUUCAUAUGACCCCAUACUUUUAGCAUUAAAUAGUAACUCCACAUUCAUGACAAUAGUGGAAUGAAGACCCAUAUCAACUAGAAGUGAAGUAACAGAUCAUCUCAAGGCAUACAAAUACAAUCAAUAAAUAAAGCAUGUCAAAUAAGAACCAAUCAGGAAACUCAUUUCAAAUUGCACAACUAACUUUGUAAAGAGGAAAAGAAUGGAUCUUCUGUAGGUACUCCUCCAUAAAAGAAGUACUAACGCGAGAAAUCAGAUCAACUCAAGUUUGUCACACACAUAUAUACAGAUGCUCAUUAACAACACUAUUUCAUUCAAACAUGCAUUAUAAAACUUCAAAAGUUAUAAUAUUAAUCAAAGGUGAGGCAAAAAAUGAACCUUUACAUGAAUCUGGGCUUUUGAUUUGGCAAUUGGAACGACCAUGACACACCAACCAGAGAGCCUCGGCACUGACCUCGAAAGGAUUCAACUCGACUGAGGACGACGGUUUUGGAUGUCAAAAUGGGCUAUUUUAUGGUGGAGUUUGGAGGCUGUUUUGAGGUGAUUUUCUGUUGGUUUCAAGUGUGGGUUCGAGUGAAGUUUCAGUUGGUUUUCAUGGUUGUUUCAAGGCUGUUUUCAGGUAGGUUUGGGGGUGG